AUGGCCAUAUCAUGUAAACACGGGUUUUCAUCUGAUUACCAAAGUUAAGCAAUGUUGAGCUUGGUCAGUAACUAGAUAGGUGACUGCUUGGGAAUACCAAGUGCU